CAAUUCUGUUGGAAUAUGCUUUUUGUGGCUGAGGAAUAAUUCCUACAGCACAUGGCAUCUUUGGUACCUAUAUAUGGUACCAUUUCUAUACAAAAAAAUUGAUUGAGAUUUGGAUAACCUAAAAAAGACCUAAAAGUUCUCUGCAUUUUUUCUCAUUCUAAGUUUACUCAAAAAUAAAAUACAGACUCAGCCUGAUUUCUCUACACAAAACCUCUGAAAAGCACAUCUGAUUUUGCAAAAACUUAGAAGAAUACUCAGAAUAUUUCUCUUUCAAAAUUUCUGGGCUUUUGGUUGCAAGAUGGUUUGAGUUGAGACUGCUGUGAUACUGCUGUUUUGCUACUUGAUUCCGUUGGUUUUUCAGCACUGUUAAGUUGUUUCUUCUAAGUUUGUGGUUUGCUGGGCUAGUUUUGAUUAUUUUGGUUUUUUGACCUUUAUUUGGUCUUUUAUCAGCCUAUUUCUGCAUUUAGUCCAGAAGGCUAACUUGUUUGGUUUGACCACAAGUUGUUCAAAGCCAUCCAAGGUGCAAUUUAAAUCAAGGCAGCUUUUCAUGUCAAUUCUACAGAAGGCAGCAUGAUAACUGUGUACGUUUUUAUCUUUAAGUUUUAGCCAAAAUUUUAAAGUUGUUUUUAUGCUUAUAAGGCUCUUCAUGUAAUUAACUCGUUUUAGUUUUUUUAGCAUCGAUUUCUCCUAUCAAAUGUAUUCAGGACUGGUUGUUUUAACAUUGAACUAAAUGGGGAUCUCAUUUUGUAAAGGAAGGUCUGUUAAAUGCUUUGAAUUUCAUGUAAUGUACAUAUUGGGCCUGGUAAAUAUUCAGGCCCAUAUCUGUGGAAUUUGACCAUACCCAGCUUUGACUCCCGAUGGAAGAACUCACAUAGCAGGCAGUGAUUGGUCCAAGCUUUCAGGGGCCUAGGAUAUUGGGCUUGGGCUUUAGGCCCAGUAGUUUAGUUUAGUUAUAAAGUUUCUCUCAUGAAUUGUAGUAUAAAUGCACACCUUUGUUAUUUUUCUUUUGUAAAUCAUAGUAGUAUAAUGAGUCUUCAAGUAUGAAUCGAAUUUUCAACAUUUUGGUUUUUC